AUGGAGCUUCUCCCCGCCGCCGCUCGCCUCAUCUCCGUCGCAUCGCGACUCCGGCGAGGACAGAUCAGCCGGCCUCGUCGCCGGCCCGCGUCCCGAUGUUGGGUCCCGGAAGAGCUCCUCCCCGACGCCGCCCGCCUCGUCUCCGUCGUGUCGCGACUCCAGCGAGGGCACAGCAAGCACGCCUCGUCCCCGCCGCGCUGCGACUCAGGCAAGGGCAGAGCCAGCCCGCCUCGUCGCGGGCCCGCCGCGUCCCGAUGUUGGGUCCCGGAAGAGCUGCUACCCGACGCCGCCUGCCUCGUCUCCGACGCGCCGCGACUCCGGCGAGGGUAG
rnacentral:rRNA from 1 species